UUGUCCAUGUUUAGACAUGGGUUUCUCCUCUCUUCUUUGUCCAAAAGUUGGACAAAAUUUUCAUAUCUCUAGUGUAGAGAUUUGGUGCAUGGGUUUUAGGAAGAAAAAAGAAGAAAGGAUUCUUCUCAUGAUCUCUAACAUAGAGAUUAACAUCCUCCUAUUUCUUCUUGUUCUCUAAGCGUGUCUUGAGAGAAAAGAAGAUUUUUUCACCAUCAAGAUGCAAUCUCUACAAGGGAGCUAGCACCCCAAUAAAAUCAAAAGAUUUCUUAUCAGAUCAGAGUCUCGUAUGGAUAUCCAUAGAGGUCAGAUGCUUAUACGGCUACAAAAGACCUUCGGAAGACAUCCAUGAUCAUCAGUUCGCGGUGA
rnacentral:lncRNA from 1 species